CCUACGUGAGGCAGCAGUGAGGAAUAUUGGUCAAUGGGCGCGAGCCUGAACCAGCCAAGUAGCGUGAAGGAUGACUGCCCUACGGGUUGUAAACUUCUUUUAUAAAGGAAUAAAGUGAGGCACGUGUGGGCUUAGCGAGAGUACCUGAAGAAAAAGCAUCGGCUAACUCCGUGCCAGCAGCCGCGGUAAUACGGAGGAUGCGAGCGUUAUCCGGAUUUAUUGGGUUUAAAGGGUGCGUAGGCGGAAUAUCAAGUCAGCGGUAAAAAUUCGGGGCUCAACCCCGUCGUGCCGUUGAAACUGAUGUUCUUGAGUGGGCGAGAAGUAUGCGGAAUGCGUGGUGUAGCGGUGAAAUGCAUAGAUAUCACGCAGAACUCCGAUUGCGAAGGCAGCAUACCGGCGCCCAACUGACGCUGAAGCACGAAAGCGUGGGUAUCGAACAGGAUUAGAUACCCUUGUAGUC
rnacentral:rRNA from 1 species